UCAUCAAGAACGGAAUCAACAAUGAAGAGUGAAACCAUGGGAGUCUUUGGAGUCAUAUCACUUGGCAUCUUUGAGACUGCAAUGCAGUGCUCCUUGAUCUUUACUUUCAAGAGCUCAAACUUUGUUAACAAAUUGGAAAGAGCAAAAUCCCAUUCUCCGCUCUCUGUAACCAAGAAAAAAGAUGGCUCUAAGCAACUUCCUACCUCCUGGACUAGAGCUUUGAUACCCGUUAUUUCUUUCUUUGUUACUUCCAACUUUAUUCCUUUUUUCUUAUUUCCGUCCU
rnacentral:lncRNA from 1 species